GACGAACGCUGGCGGCGUGCUUAACACAUGCAAGUCGAACGGAAAGGCUCCUGCCUGCCGGGGUACUCGAGUGGCGAACGGGUGAGUAACACGUGGGUGAUCUGCCCUGUACUUCGGGAUAAGCUUGGGAAACUGGGUCUAAUACCGGAUAUGACAAUCUCUUGGAUGGGGUUGUGGAAAGCUUUUGCGGUAUGGGAUGAGCUCGCGGCCUAUCAGCUUGUUGGUGGGGUAAUGGCCUACCAAGGCGUCGACGGGUAGCCGGCCUGAGAGGGUGUACGGCCACAUUGGGACUGAGAUACGGCCCAGACUCCUACGGGAGGCAGCAGUGGGGAAUAUUGCACAAUGGGCGCAAGCCUGAUGCAGCGACGCCGCGUGGGGGAUGACGGCCUUCGGGUUGUAAACUCCUUUCGCAACCGACGAAGCUUUUGUGACGGUAGGUUGAGAAGAAGCACCGGCUAACUACGUG
rnacentral:rRNA from 1 species